UACGUAGGGUGCAAGCGUUAAUCGGAAUUAUUGGGCGUAAAGAGCUCGUAGGCGGUUUGUCGCGUCUGCCGUGAAAGUCCGGGGCUUAACUCCGGAUCUGCGGUGGGUACGGGCAGACUAGAGUGCAGUAGGGGAGACUGGAAUUCCUGGUGUAGCGGUGAAAUGCGCAGAUAUCAGGAGGAACACCGAUGGCGAAGGCAGGUCUCUGGGCUGUAACUGACGCUGAGGAGCGAAAGCAUGGGGAGCGAACAGG
rnacentral:rRNA from 1 species